rnacentral:lncRNA from 1 species
CAGAACUGACACAGAGAGUUUGAGUAAUUUGUUCAUGAUCAAACAUAAGUGUAAUAAUCUUAUGUGUGUGGGUUUUGAAGAGGAGCAACAGUUACCUGGUCAAAGAUUUAACUUCCUCAUCUAUAAAAUGGUUUUUAUAUCUGUUACAUAUGUAUAAUUUGUUCUCAGACAUUGCUGUGAAGACUAAAUAAAAUGCCAUAUGUGGAGGUCACAAUGUAAUACCUAA